rnacentral:rRNA from 1 species
AUUGAACGCUGGCGGCAUGCUUUACACAUGCAAGUCGAACGGCAGCGCGGGCUUCGGCCUGGCGGCGAGUGGCGAACGGGUGAGUAAUGCAUCGGAACGUGCCCAGUAGUGGGGGAUAGCCCGGCGAAAGCCGGAUUAAUACCGCAUACGACCUGAGGGUGAAAGCGGGGGACCGAAAGGCCUCGCGCUAUUGGAGCGGCCGAUGUCGGAUUAGCUAGUUGGUGGGGUAAAGGCUUACCAAGGCGACGAUCCGUAGCUGGUCUGAGAGGACGACCAGCCACACUGGGACUGAGACACGGCCCAGACUCCUACGGGAGGGAGCAGUGGGGAAUUUUGGACAAUGGGGGGAACCCUGAUCCAGCCAUGCCGCGUGCGGGAAGAAGGCCUUCGGGUUGUAAAACGCUUUUGUUCGGGAAGAAAACCUCUGGGCUAAUACCCCGGGGGGAUGACGGUACCGGAAGAAUAAGCACCGGCUAACUACGUG